UACAGAGGUCUCAAGCGUUGUUCGGAAUCACUGGGCGUAAAGCGCAUGCAGGCGGAUUGUUAAGUCGGGGGUGAAAUCCCGAGGCUCAACCUCGGAACUGCCUUCGAUACUGGCAAUCUUGAGUCCGGGAGAGGUGAGUGGAACUGCGAGUGUAGAGGUGAAAUUCGUAGAUAUUCGCAAGAACACCAGUGGCGAAGGCGGCUCACUGGCCCGGUACUGACGCUGAGGUGCGAAAGCGUGGGGAGCAAACAGG
rnacentral:rRNA from 1 species